UACGAAGGGGAGCUAGCGUUGUUCGGAAUCACUGGGCGUAAAGCGCACGUAGGCGGAUUUGUAAGUCAGGGGUGAAAUCCCGGGGCUCAACCUCGGAACUGCCUUUGAUACUGCGAAUCUCGAGUCCGAUAGAGGUGGGUGGAAUUCCUAGUGUAGAGGUGAAAUUCGUAGAUAUUAGGAAGAACACCGGUGGCGAAGGCGGCCCACUGGAUCGGUACUGACGCUGAGGUGCGGAAAGCGUGGGGAGCAAACAUGGAUUAGACU
rnacentral:rRNA from 1 species